rnacentral:rRNA from 1 species
GAUGAACGCUGGCGGCGUGCCUAAUACAUGCAAGUCGAGCGAACAGACGAGGAGCUUGCUCCUCUGACGUUAGCGGCGGACGGGUGAGUAACACGUGGAUAACCUACCUAUAAGACUGGGAUAACUUCGGGAAACCGGAGCUAAUACCGGAUAAUAUAUUGAACCGCAUGGUUCAAUAGUGAAAGACGGUUUUGCUGUCACUUAUAGAUGGGUCCGCGCCGCAUUAGCUAGUUGGUAAGGUAACGGCUUACCAAGGCAACGAUGCGUAGCCGACCUGAGAGAGUGAUCGGCCACACUGGAACUGAGACACGGUCCAGACUCCUACGGGAGGCAGCAGUAGGGAAUCUUCCGCAAUGGGCGAAAGCCUGACGGAGCAACGCCGCGUGAGUGAUGAAGGUCUUCGGAUCGUAAAACUCUGUUAUUAGGGAAGAACAAAUGUGUAAGUAACUAUGCACGUCUUGACGGUACCUAAUCAGAAAGCCACGGCUAACUACGUG